CCGCCACCUACUGUGCGGUAGUGUGUAGUCAAUUACGUUCUAUUUCGUGAUACAAAAAUGUUAAAGGACGGGGGGAAAGGAAAACAUUGCAACACCAACUAACCCUACGCCUAUAUACCACUAUUCAUUUCAAAUUAAUAUCACCACCCCAUUCGACUACUUUGACCCUAACUGAUUCUACACCAGGCCGACAGCCUGGGAGGGCAGGACCCUUUCGUUCAACACACGUUGUUGCUCUUCUGCAGUAAAACCUCGUAUACCCAUGUACUAUUCUGCAGCUGAGCUAGCUUCGCUGAUUAAACAGUACCCGACUUCUUUUCUACCCUGGCCCGAGACUGCAUAUGGAUCAGCCAAAAGGCAGGGAUCUACUUUCUCCCAAAAUCUCACUCCCACUCACCCCUUUGCAUGACCAUCAGGCUCGGAUUUGGAGGUCGUCACAACACUUGCCACCACAGGUCUGAUUGUGGGUUAUGUUGGAGAUGGAAACUUACCCUGUAUAAUGGUUAUGUACCCCUAAUGACCAGGAUGAGGUCACUAGAGUUCACUGAGAGACUGGCCAGAAAAGCAGUGGCACUGGACGGGACAUGGACAUGGAAGCACGGGGUGGGCCUGGGAAACGAGUGUUGCUUCGUGAGGAGAUGGGACCCCUUGCCAUGGAGGUCAUGCAGGGCCUCAAGGCCACUUUGGACCCCAAUAACCUAAUGAAUCCUGGGAAGGUUUUGAAGCUAUCACCUUAUCACAGAGCACUGAAUAAAUGAAUGAAGUGUACAGUACUACUUAGGGAUGCAAUACCUCUGUCUGCCACCGGGUGUCAGGCGUUUGGUAUUGUAAUGACCUGACUCGAUCAUACAUGAACAAUUGUCCAGACAGAGGCUUGAGUUUACGAAUUGACGGUUUAUUACACCAACUUUACACAGGCUACUGUUUGGGCCGUAGCACACGCCAAAUAGAUGACAGAUAACCCACAAGCCAAUCGUGACCUUCUCUUGUGAAACCCAGACGUAAGAGAGAGAGAACAAAGGCUGAACCUGGUCUUAACUUCCAAUGCUCCACCCCCCUGCCCAACCCCCCUCCACGCCACUCCGCCAACCACCAGGAUGCCCGGCAUCAGAACAUUCCAGGCAUUCCCGUGAUUGGCAGAUAGCAGGUUGAUUGACAGGUCGGACCCCGCGAACACCGGGUACUGGUCAGUACAACACAACCACCUCCUAGCCUAACACAUAACACACAGCUGUCUGUGCGGGUCGCUACAGUAUACUUGUUUUUGUAGCGUGAGUGACUGACUAGUCCCAAGGGCAAAUUGUGUAUUAUUGUCUGUCCUCUGUUUAUCCUCUUAAGUUCCUCAGAAUAAAAUGCUUCUUUAGAUUUUACUACAAUAUAACUGUAUGGCUUGAAAUUAUUUAUUGACUACUUGUAAUUAACUAAAUCCAUCGGUUUCAUUUGGUUUCUGCUCUAUUUUGUGCCGUUGAUAUGUGCAUACUGUACUUCAACUGUAAAUGGCCCCUUCUGAUAGAGACUUAAGUAUUUAUUUAUAUUGCAAUGGUGAAGUUGCUCAUGUCUCUAAAGAUAUCUUCUUACAAUCUUAUUUUCUCAGUGGUGACAUGUGUUGAGACAAGCCAAUGAGACUAGAGAAAAACAACCCAGGCUUUAUGCAACAGAGCAGUAACACCUGUAAGUAGUCACAGGAGUGAUCCCAGUUUUCUCCUCAAGAUAAUCCAUCAAUCUAUUCAGGACUGAAGAGAACACAGCUUUUGCCUUUUAACAUUAGCUGAUGGGUCA